CGAGCGGUAGAGAUUCUUCGGAAUCUUGAGAGCGGCGUACGGGUGCGGAACACGUGUGCAACCUGCCUUUAUCUGGGGGAUAGCCUUUCGAAAGGAAGAUUAAUACCCCAUAAUAUACUGGAUGGCAUCAUUCGGUAUUGAAAACUCCGGUGGAUAGAGAUGGGCACGCGCAAGAUUAGAUAGUUGGUGAGGUAACGGCUCACCAAGUCUGCGAUCUUUAGGGGGCCUGAGAGGGUGAUCCCCCACACUGGUACUGAGACACGGACCAGACUCCUACGGGAGGCAGCAGUGAGGAAUAUUGGACAAUGGGUGAGAGCCUGAUCCAGCCAUCCCGCGUGAAGGACGACGGCCCUAUGGGUUGUAAACUUCUUUUGUAUAGGGAUAAACCUACCCUCGUGAGGGUAGCUGAAGGUACUAUACGAAUAAGCACCGGCUAACUCCGUGCCAGCAGCCGCGGUAAUACGGAGGGUGCAAGCGUUAUCCGGAUUUAUUGGGUUUAAAGGGUCCGUAGGCGGAUCUGUAAGUCAGUGGUGAAAUCUCACAGCUUAACUGUGAAACUGCCAUUGAUACUGCAGGUCUUGAGUGUUGUUGAAGUAGCUGGAAUAAGUAGUGUAGCGGUGAAAUGCAUAGAUAUUACUUAGAACACCAAUUGCGAAGGCAGGUUACUAAGCAACAACUGACGCUGAUGGACGAAAGCGUGGGGAGCGAACAGGAUUAGAUACCCUGGUAGUCCACGCCGUAAACGAUGCUAACUCGUUUUUGGAGCGCAAGCUUCAGAGACUAAGCGAAAGUGAUAAGUUAGCCACCUGGGGAGUACGAACGCAAGUUUGAAACUCAAAGGAAUUGACGGGGGCCCGCACAAGCGGUGGAUUAUGUGGUUUAAUUCGAUGAUACGCGAGGAACCUUACCAAGGCUUAAAUGGGAAAUGACAGGUUUAGAAAUAGACUUUUCUUCGGACAUUUUUCAAGGUGCUGCAUGGUUGUCGUCAGCUCGUGCCGUGAGGUGUUAGGUUAAGUCCUGCAACGAGCGCAACCCCUGUCACUAGUUGCCAUCAUUAAGUUGGGGACUCUAGUGAGACUGCCUACGCAAGUAGAGAGGAAGGUGGGGAUGACGUCAAAUCAUCACGGCCCUUACGCCUUGGGCCACACACGUAAUACAAUGGCCGGUACAGAGGGCAGCUACACUGCGAAGUGAUGCAAAUCUCGAAAGCCGGUCUCAGUUCGGAUUGGAGUCUGCAACUCGACUCUAUGAAGCUGGAAUCGCUAGUAAUCGCGCAUCAGCCAUGGCGCGGUGAAUACGUUCCCGGGCCUUGUACACACCGCCCGUCAAGCCAUGGAAGUCUGGGGUACCUGAAGUCGGUGACC
rnacentral:rRNA from 1 species